ACUAAAAUUAAUAACUGGACCAAUUCACAUGAAAAAUGCCAACAAUCAUUCCCUAUGCCUAGAAAAAUUAACCAAAAAUUGAAAAAGUUAAGCAAUUAUUGAUAUUCACCAAAGAGAUGUUCCUGAACUCAGCCACAUCAACUUGAUACCUUUUUAUUAAUAAAUUUGGCAAUAGCAGAAUUAGAGACAACAAUCCAGCAUCAAACUUGGUAUUCAUAUGAAGACUGACCACUAGAAAAAGAAAAGAAAAGAAAAUAAACGAAAAAGGAGAUAAAUAUCAAACUAAAACAAAGGAAAAACCUCUAGAACCUAAAAACUAAAAAUACUAGCACCCAAACUGACCCCCCCACACCUAAGUCACACAUUGCCCUCAAUGUGAUAAUGUAAAAAGCAGAAGAAAAGAGAGGGGCAACGGUACUUCCCUGAAGUCAUCAAAACAGGGGCGGUUCAGGUGGAAAUUGAGGAUCAAGGCCUGCAUGGGGCAUAAAUGCUGCCAAAUUCUGCGCAUGUGAUGCAGGUUGACGUCAAUGUGGGUCAUCCGAGUCGCUAGUCGCUCAACUCGCAUCUGGAGCCGGUGCCAUUCGUCAGCCCCUGGGGUAGGAGGAGGCUGCGAGUGUCUAGGUGUCCUAAACCUAGAAGCGGAUCUUGGCCUUACCAUGAUCUCUAGAUGUCACUCUAAUCACAAGGGACUACAAUUGCCAACAGAUAAUGGAAACAGGAAUUUCAAAGUAAUAACAAUUUUUUGUUUAAAACCAACCCAAUGAACAAUAGGCACAAUUCAAUCACCCACAGGUUAUACGAAUACCUCAACACUAAUAACAAAUGCAAUCAAUGAGCCCCUGUGGUCCAAAUGUAGUCAAAUUCAGAAUCAAGGCAGUCCAAUCAUGCAACAAGUGCUCCAAAUAGCUUAGUAAAGGAAACCAAAAGGAUAAAAUGCUCCUAAACAAGGCAAUCAGAGGCAACUAACUUCAAUAAGCAAAUUUCAGCGUUAUAGGCACCUCCCAAUUUAACAAGCAAAUUACCCACAAUUAGACACAAAUCACAGCAAAAUAGACACAAUUGGUCCCAAAAUGGUAACA
rnacentral:lncRNA from 1 species